rnacentral:lncRNA from 10 species
GUUUUAAUUGACAAGUAAAACUUCUAUAUAUUUAUGGUGUAUAACAUAAUGUGUGUGUGUAUAUAUAUGUAUGUAUAUAUACACACCCACAUUUUAGAGUGACUAAAUCAAGCUAUUUAGCUCAUGCGUUACCUCACUUACUUGUCAUUUUUGCAUUUUUGGUGGCGAAUUGGAAAGCUAUUUUUAUAGGCCUUUUGUUCAUACCCUAUUGAAAUGAUCACUAAUGCUGAUUUAGAGAAAUCUGAAUUACUGAGAUUAUAUAUGGUAGGUAAGAAGUGGAGGACAGGGCCACCAUUUUUAAAUGGCUCAUCCUCCUGAGUGACAGUAGCUGUGAUUAAAUAAACCUCCCUACCUAGCAAAAUCAUCAAAUGUGGUGACCACAUUAACUUUGGUAGAGGACAGCUUCUGAAAGACCUUUGCUUUCUAAAGGAAUACAUAUUAAUGGUCUCUGAAAUUUUAAAGUAUUUUAAGCCUGUAGGAUUAAAGGUAAAUGGACAGCUAAAUGUGUGUUUUCAGGUGAAAUGACAGUAAAUCCUUGUGCUCCAGCUCAUAAACUGAACCUUCCAGGGGGCAUAGUAUGGUCCUGCUAAAUAAAUCUCUUGCUCAUUCUGUAAUUAGCAAUGACUAUAACAACUUUUAUUUCUCCAUUUAACAUUUGUGAGAUAGCUUCAGUCUGUUUCAUUUCAUCAUUCAUCUUUUUGGAAAUCUCGCUGCUGCCACAACAGCCAUGCAUAUAAAUUCCUCACCAUGCCUCUGCAAAUCAAACAAAAUGUACUUUAAGCCUGCCUCACAAUCAAAGGCUCUAUGUGAUUUAUUUCCAAACGGUUCUUAGAGCUGGGCCUAAAUGCGACACAGCUACAUGCAAAAGCACAAUGUUUUGGACAGGGUCAGAGUCCACUUAGAGAGAGAGAGACCUAGCAUAGCACAAGACACACAGUAGCCAUUCUGCAUUCUGUAAAUUUGUUUUCGAAUGAGAUCUAUGUAGAGAAAUUUGCUCCACUCUGUCUUCCUUGUCUAAAGGAGGAGGCUUUUCAUCCUUUUCGGGAGACAUUUCCAGGCACGUUCAGGUGGACUGUCUGCAGGUCAGGUUCACAUCUAGUCAUGUCUUGAUCACCCCCGUGCAUCCCUAGCUAGGGGGAAGCUUAUAGAAUCAGAGGUCCAUCAUAAGGCACAAUGAAUUACAGGAUGCCACAAGCAUAUUUGUCUAUGAAAAUCUUCACCAGGUGGAAAUGGCCAAAACAAAGAUCACCAACCCCCAGGGGAAAGGGUUCAACCUCUGCUGAGCUUCCGAAAUACUUCAAGCCCUGCAACCAGACACAGGCCCAUAAGGACAGGACCUGAGUGAAACCAAGCAGUUUCUGGGGAAGGAAAUAUUUUCAUUGACAUUUUUGGGUUACUGUUGCACUACCACUAGUUGUCUCGGAGCUCUAGGAAAAUGGUGAUCAUUUUUCACAGGCUGCUAGUUUUUGUGAGCUUCUGGUUGGGUUGGUUUUAAGUUAUCAGAGCAAUAGAACUUCCCUGACAAGUCAAAGUACCACCUAUUGGAAGAGUGUCAGUGCUACUCAAAAUAUGGCUUGAGAAUUGAUGCCAUCUAUGUCACCUGGGAGUUUGUUAAAAAAUGCAGAUUCUUCAGACCCCACCCCAGAUUCCAAAUCCCCAGAAUCCGAAUCUCUGGGGAUGGGGCCUUGAAGAGUGAGUUUUAACAUCUUUCUGGGUGAUUCUGAUGCACGCAAAAGUUUAAGAAGCACUAAUCCACCUAUCCUUUCUGGCUUUUGUCCUUCGAGCCAAGACCCUCAAUUUGGAGGAGGGGCAGCAAUGUUCCCAGUAAAUACCGCAUUUCCCUGCCUCCUCUGCAGCAAAGGGAGGCUGGAUCGGCUGCAAGGCACAGCCCCUUUGCCCAUUGCCCUUCCUUCUGCUUCCUGCCUGAAUUGUGGAUGUGAGGUUCAGUGCUUCAACAGCCAUCUCAGCCCAUGAGGCAGCCUCAGUGAUGGAAACUGCACUAAAAAUCAAGGAGUCUGAAGGCAGAAGGAGCGUGCUUCCAACAAUCAGGCAGAAGGAGCGUGCUCCCAACGAUCAGGCAGAAGGAACGUGCGCCCAUGAUCAGGCAGGAGUGUGCUCCCAACGAUCAGGCAGAAGGAGUGUGCUCCCAAUGAUCGGGCAGAAGGAGUGUGCUCCCAUGAUCAAAGGCAGCCACUCCAGCCCUGGCUUUCCUUCCUCCAGAUUCCCUUCACAUGAGAGUAAAACAAACCUUUAACUUACUAUAAACUUAUUAUAAAUUGGUUUCUUUGAAUUUGCAGUCAUAUGCCAUCCAACAUAAUCCCAGGUCAGUUAGCACAGAUGCCCCCUAGAAAAGCCAGAUGUGGAAGUGGAGACACCUUUCCCAGGGCUACGGGGAUUCUUACCCCACUCACCAAUGUCCCUCUUGCAUUCCUGGCCCCUAUCUCUUCUUCCAUGUAACCCUUUCUGUAAAACUGAUUAGGUAAAAAUCGAUUAGGUCUGUAGAAAAUGGGCAAGGGCAUCAUUUCCCUUACCUGGUUUAUAAAGAUAAAAAAUUGGUACACUCCUCAAAGAAAAAAAAAUAAGAGGGAGCCACCACAUUUGGAAAUCCACAGCUGACAAGUAAAGUAGUAGCAAUCCUUUUACACAUGAAAGGUGCAGUUUGCGGAUUGUAAGGUCAUCGUACUCGGUGUUUAUGGCCAAUUUAAUAUCCGCUCACUGCAAGUGGAAUGAGGCAGGAAGCAGAAACUGUGGCCAGUUUUUUCAUCACUGUGUCCCCAGGGCUUGGCAGAGAGACUGGCCCAUGGUCAGGGCUCAAUAAGGAUUUGCUGAAUGAAUAAAUGGAUGGAUAAAUACUAAUCUUUUUAUGUUUAAACUGAUGCUUCCUCUCAUUAUAGUAAAGCCAUCAAGGGAAUAGUCAAUGAAUGGUCUCAGGGAAUGGCGAGUAUUUGUCACAUUGUCCCAUUCCCCAAACUGCAGGCUUCCCCAGAACUGUCAUGAGAGCAUCACCUUAGGCCUUCUCGCCCACUCCUCACAUUACAUGUAAUCUGGGCCACAUCGUUUAACCUCUCAAGGUCCCCAUGUUGCAAAAUAAAAGUUGAAGGAAGCGAUUCUCAAUGUUUCUCCCAGCUGAUUCAAUCAAUUUUGGAAUACAGAAGAGACCUUAGUGCCUGAAAAUAAUCUCUAACCCCAGUCCUUAAGGUUUUCUUACAGUUAUUUUUAUUAUUUAGUUUUAAUGAACUAACACAACGUAGGAGGGAACGCUGGGUUGGGGUUUACUUGUUACAUGACCUCAGGAUGAUGUACUACAAACUUCACAGAUAGGCACACCUCUUUCACUAAUUAUUUUUAAUAAAACAAAAGAUCAAAAAUCAGCAUCAGGAGAUGACACAAUACAGUUGAGACUAUGGAAAGCAACUAUUUCCAAGCUGGGCAUCAUAAAAUACAUCAUCAAGAACUGUGAACAGAUUUGCUAAACAAAGGAAAGCCUCAUCCCUUUAACCCUCCACAGCCGACAUCGGGAGUCUCUUGGGGUAGAACAUGAAGUGAAAAAGAAGUGGAUGGCCAGAAUGCUGUACAUUGUCCCCCAGUGACCUGCCACAGAGACUAUUUUUAAAGACGCAUUUAUCUCAGCAGGAGUGACGGCAUUUAAGAAGUAGCCCGGUACUCAGGCUAGACAAUCCUGCAAAAGUCUGCAGAGCUUGGCUGCACCCUUUACAAAGACCUGAGUGAUGGAUGAGAUGGGAAUUGCCCUUGAUUGGCUAGGUGGCUGGUUUAAAGAGCCAUAAAGAUAAUGCAGAAGUGAGAUCUUGGAAACCAAAUGGAGUUAGCCCCCAAAUUAUUGCAGCCACCCCAGCACUCCAAUGUUAAUCCAAUUUUAAAUUUACAAGAUCCAUCUUAACUAGAAAUGCAGGCUCUAACUGUCCUGCAAGUUUUUUAAGUGGUAGCUGCUCAAUGAAUUGUAUUAUCCCAUUAAAGAAUAAUGUUUUAGAUGUGGUAAUCCCAGACUCACACAAUUCUCUUUUAUGAACCUAGCCACUGUAUUCAUAUGGAAAGUAAAUUACAGCUAUAUUACAUCGAGCCUUUCAUUAUUGACAGAGCAAUAAAUGUUAGUACUCCUAUAAAACACUGAGAGAAAGAUUAAUACACAGUGGUAUAUAUAUUUGGAGGAAUCAGGGUGUCCAGUCAGAGUCAAUAUGUCUUCUCUCCCUGUACAGAAAAAAAGGGAGGGGUGUAAAUAAAAAGGUGAGGGUUGACAGAAGGAGAGUAAACAUUUUAACCAUUAAAACUGAUCUCAAAUCGACGGUGGAAAGGUGUCAUAAGAUUUACCCCUACCAACCCGUUAAUUGAGGAAAAUUACAGAAAGAUGUCCCGAAGCUAUCAUAGGACCUAAGCAUUUCUCCAAUACUGAGAAAACACUCGAUAUAGCCAUUAUUAUUCUGUUUUAAAUUUUUGGAGAUCUCUGCCAGGGAAAAUGUGGCACUUGCCCAUUGAGAGCACUGCAAAUCAACUCAAACAACUAGUUCUUGCAGGCUGAUGUUCAUCCGGCCUGGGCAGGUGCAAGUUCACCUCCGCUGGCAGUUGUGCGUAGCUCACUGUCCCCUCCAUUGUCAGACAGUUCUGAUGUUUUUCCUCUUCCAUGCAGUCAAGACUUCAGUCUAUUGCUGACCUUCAUCAGAGAGGUUUGUCCUAAGCUCCUCCCCCAACCCACACCCCUGUUUAUGUUCAAAGCUGGACUUCAGGAAACAGUUCUCUUAAGCACUGAAGAAAAACAUAUUUGGCAUCCACUACACUCCCUAACUCCCACUCCAAUGGACUCUGUUUCAAAAGCUCUGGACACAUAGCAUAGAUUUCUCAUGAGACCUGACCAUCCUAACAAAUAUGGAUUGCAUUUGCAUUUUACCACUAGAACAAACAAAAAGUAUUUACAUUUGGAAGAACUGUGGCUACACUUCCCCAUCCUUCCCUCAGUCCCCAUGUUGUUUGAUUCUUGCCUGCAAAGAGUACCAGAGGCCACUGAACACAUCUCACAUUGUUUUUGGGUAGUGGCAAAGUAAAAUGCCAGCACUGAAGAUGGUGAGCUUGAGUUUCACAAGUCAUCUGUGUAAGGGAGAGAAGUAACUACUCACUACACCUGCACAAAGAAAAGUGCCUGGAUUAAGCAGACUGCACAAUGUGAGUUUGUUAAUUCAUCCUCCCAACAGAAAGUUAAAUGGCUGUAAGAAAUUGUGCUUGCAUUUCAUUUGAUCAGACCUCAUUUCCUGGGACCUCAAACACCAAGUUCUCCCAAAAUAUGGCUAAAAUGCUGGCAAUAUUUGCAGAUACCAGUUGUGGAAAUUAAACCCAAAUAAAGUUAUAUACAAACUUAGUUUACAGAAUAACUAUCCCAUUCCGUUUCUUUGAAUAGAGCAAAACAGAAAUAAAUAUCCUUCUUAAAUGUAUUACCUAAUUAUCAUGGAAAGCCUAGGAGACAUAGGAGAAAAGUAGAUCUCUAUAGAUGUUGCUCAAAUACUUGGCUUUCUAGAUCAGAGUAUCCUCAAUGCUACUAUGUCAAUUUUCGAGUGGAAAAUAUGAUAGGUGAUACUUUUAAAUGCAAAAAUAUAUACUUCAAGCCCAAUCUUCAUAUAAUGACUCUAACUUCCAGCCAAGUUGAUUUGUUAAGUUGUUGGGCUCCAAGGAGCUUUCUGGAGGAACCUGGGUGUUUCUGACCCUCUAAUUCCUUUUCAAACGCAAGUUAAGUCCUUGCACUUGACUUAGAGAAAUGCUUGCUCCUCGCAUAGUGUGUGCACUCACUGGAGAAUCCUCUCCCUGCCUUGGACUGGGAAGACUUGAAGUUAAACACGCAGCUCUGUGAUUCUAAGGGUGGCUCAGGGCACCCCCAAAUCAGUCACCUGAGUUACAAACAUAUUGACAGCUGAAGUGGGUCCUAAACUAGGGGUCACAAAGUCAACUUCUCCUCCCGUGCUAUCCAAGGUGUCCUCCGGACCGUGAUAGGCAGGAAGUGUGGAUGCAUUUCAGUGUCCUGGACAAGAUUCUCUCGACCUUUCCUUUUCCCAUAGGUUGUUCACAUCAGGACCUGUUCUCGAGUCUCUGGCAGUCGAAGGGCAAUCAGGCCACCCCCAACCAGAGAAGCAGCAGCCAGAAGGAUGGGGACCACUUUGGUUAUCCCAACAAAAGAAGCAAAGAUGGUGUUUCCCAGGAUGGCGCCAAAUUUGCAUAAUCCAUUGAGAAUGCCGAAGGCUGUUGCUCUGUA